rnacentral:rRNA from 1 species
UACGGAGGGUGCAAGCGUUAUCCGGAUUUACUGGGCGUAAAGCGCACGUAGGCGGACUAUUAAGUCAGGGGUGAAAUCCCGGGGCUCAACCCCGGAACUGCCUUUGAUACUGGUAGUCUUGAGUUCGAGAGAGGUGAGUGGAAUUCCGAGUGUAGAGGUGAAAUUCGUAGAUAUUCGGAGGAACACCAGUGGCGAAGGCGGCUCACUGGCUCGAUACUGACGCUGAGGUGCGAAAGCGUGGGGAGCAAACAGG